rnacentral:snRNA from 1 species
GUGCUCGCUUUGGCAGCACAUACACUAAAAUUGGAACGAUACAGAGAUUAGCAUGGCCCCUGUGCAAGGAUGACACGCAAAUUCGUGAAGCGUUCCGUAUUUUU